rnacentral:tRNA from 1 species
GCUAGGGAUGUAGCUCAGUGGUAAAGCGCUUGCCUACCAUGUAUGAGGCACUGGGUUCGAUCCUCAGCACAGCA